rnacentral:rRNA from 1 species
GAUGAACGCUGACAGAAUGCUUAACACAUGCAAGUCUACUUGAAUUUGGGUUUUUUAACUUAGAUAUGGGUGGCGGACGGGUGAGUAACGCGUAAAGAACUUGCCUCACAGUUUGGGACAACAUUUGGAAACGAAUGCUAAUACCUGAUAUUAUGAAUAUAUGGCAUCAUAUAAUUAUGAAAGCUAUAAGCGCUGUGAGAGAGCUUUGCGUCAUAUUAGCUAGUUGGAGAGGUAACGGCUCCCCAAGGCGAUGAUGGGUAGCCGGCCUGGGAGGGUGAACGGCCACAAGGGGACUGAGACAGGGCCCGUACGCCUACGGGAGGCAGCAGUGGGGAAUAUUGGAAAAUGGACCAAGAGUGUGAUGCAGCAAUUCGGUGUGCACGAUGACGUUUUUCGGAAUGUAAAGUGCUUUCAGUUGGGAAGAAAAAAAUGACGGUACCAACAGAAGAAGUGACGGCUAAAUACGUG